rnacentral:rRNA from 1 species
AUUGAACGCUGGCGGCAUGCCUUACACAUGCAAGUCGAACGGCAGCGGGGACUUCGGUCCGCCGGCGAGUGGCGAACGGGUGAGUAAUGUAUCGGAACGUACCAUUCAGUGGGGGAUAACUAUCCGAAAGGAUAGCUAAUACCGCAUAUUCUGUGAGCAGGAAAGCAGGGGAUCGCAAGACCUUGCGCUGAUUGAGCGGCCGAUAUCAGAUUAGCUAGUUGGUGAGGUAACGGCUCACCAAGGCUACGAUCUGUAGCGGGUCUGAGAGGAUGAUCCGCCACACUGGGAAUGAGACACGGCCCAGACUCCGACGGGAGGCAGCAGUGGGGAAUCUUGGACAAUGGGCGCAAGCCUGAUCCAGCCAUGCCGCGUGAGUGAAGAAGGCCUUCGGGUUGUAAAGCUCUUUCGGCCGGGAAGAAAUCGCAUCAGCUAAUACCUGGUGUGGAUGACGGUACCGGAAUAAGAAGCACCGGCUAACUACGUGCCAGCCGCCGCAGUAAAAC